CAUAUAUGUGUUGAAGAGAUAUAAGUGGAAAAAGAUGCAACUUUCCAAGUCAAAAGUAGUAAUCUAAACUAUAUUAAAAGAGUGAUACGAGGAGUAGAAAGUGUGUUCCACGUCAGAUUAAAAAAUCGGCCAAUUAGAGAACUUUCUGUAGCCACGUCAUCAUCUCCUUAAACGUAGGCGGCUCUGUGUUUUGAGCUUCAUCUCAUCUGAAAAUAGAAGCAAUUAUUGUCUUCUCCCAUCUGUUACAAUAAGAUAUACUCUUCUCCCUUCUCAGAAACGGAAGCGACCUCUCCCCUAGAUCUAGAAAUCAUCAUAUAUUAUUUGCCCUUCAAAUCAGUUAUUCUUCUGAGUAUCAUUCUCUUUUUCUCUGUAAUCUCCUUCGAUAAGUAGAGUCGGGAAGAGGGAUAUGAUUUCUGGAUUGAAUUCAGUGAUUACUUUGAGUGUCCCCACCAAAGAGGUAUCCUACUACUUCUUUAUUCUCCUCUUUCCUGGUCUUCUUUUAAUUGAAGAUUGAUUUCGUGGUGAUUGUUAGGUUAUGGUGCAAGCCACUGUUUCUGUGUUGGAUUUGGAAAGGUUUGUGUCUUGACAAUUCAAAAUUAUCACUUUAAUAGAAAACGUGGGGGGGAGUCGGAGAGGUCAAAGUUCACAUUGUUAUGUGGCUCAGAUCUCUUCUCUUCCUGAUCCUAUACAAGAAAAUUUUGAGGUUAGGUCUUCAGAGAAAUGUGUUACACUGUCCCAUAUCCCAUUUUCUCACUUGAAAGCAGUCCGGUGCAGGUAGGUGGUACAGAUGCGACUCCUCCGUUUUGGGAGUCUAGGAAUGUCAAUAAAAUAAAGAGGACAGUUUAUGGGGGUUGAUAUGCUGCUGCUUUAUUCCAAGGUAAUCUGACCACCGCUUUAAAAAUCGAAUGUUUCAUAAUUUCAUUACCUAUUUUUUUGGACUCCUUUGUAGAAAAAGAGGUCACUCUAACUUGAACUAGAUAGGGACGACACAUGCUCUAUGCGGCGGACCAGUUGGUGCUCGACAUCUGCAACCCCGAACUCAGGGAGAAUGCUCUUCACGAGUUUUCUAAGGUCGUUCAUUAUCUCUCUCUAUGCAGUUAAUUAAACUCCUCUUGCUUAGUGUUGCCUAUGAAUUCUGAUUGUCUUGGUUUUUGUAUUGACAAUCAAUUUUUUUUUACUAGGUUUUGGUUUGUUUUGCUCGGUAAAUCUAUUGUUAAUCUAGGACAAGCUUUCAGAUUUGUAGGAUGAUAUCGUUGAAACUCUAGACAAUUAAAAAGUUAAAUGGUUUUGAUGUUCUGUAAUAAUAUAACAUGUGGUCGUGUGUUUUUAAUUUACUAUCAUUUUUUUUUGAGAAGAGAGAUCUUUCAUGAUUUGACUCUCCUGUUGUGGCCCUCUGUUGGUACCAUUCCUGCUCUUCCACAUGUACUCUUCGUCCAUUAAAGCUGAGUGGAACCUUCGCAUGGUGAAAUAAAGUCGAACUAUCACAAUUACACUUCAGCGGUUGGGAGUGGGAAGAAGGCGAUGCAAGAAGUUAUCUUGAACUGGUAUAAUCAAAUCUCAAAAAUUCAUAACAUAUACCAUCCCAACAACUGGGCUUUACAUCAAUCUCAAAAGUUCUUAGCAUCUUUUUGAACUUUUUGAGAAGGAUAAUUUUAACUUGGACAAGGCAUUGAUGAUUGCACAUCAAUGGAGGAAAGCUCAAGAAUUACUGGUCAGUCACUUUUCACUUCAAUAUCUUAAACAGAGGAGGAAUAUAUGCGAAUGAAAACCUAAGCUCUCAGUACUCAUCCGCUGUAUCAUCCUCUCUUGAUGUUGCUAACACCAGCCUUCUUACUUCUGUUAAUCAUUCGCUGAAACCCAGUAAUGAUGCAUGUUCUAAGAUCAACUCCAUGUUUAUCCCCUGCUGUGAAGACUUGAUAGAGCCCAAGAGUGAUCACAGUCACAAUAUUGUAGAGAUCACAAACAACACAGGGAAAUAUCUUCUUGAUGAAAACUUAGUGGAUAAACCUUCGUGUUCAACGCCCAGGAAAAGACCAAACGACAUACCAAGCAUCGAGUCCAUUGAGGUACUUAGAAUUCCAGUAUCUGAGACUUACUGAGAGCGUUUCAAGAUGGGAAACUGUUGAAGCAGGCCAAUGGUGAUGCAAAGGAGCAGCAACACCUUAUACGUGCUUCCUCUGUCUAUGCAGAAGCUGUGUCGGACUCAAGAUCUCCUCUCUCUGCUGUUAACUGAUACCCAAAGAGGAUUAGUCAUAAAUAAGCCAAGAAAAGAAGGUUAUUAACUUAUUAUUGUGUCACAGUCUACAGAAAGAGUAUUGUUGCAUACAUGUCAACAUAUUUUCUUCGUGGAACUGGUUUGAGGAUUUUUACAAAACACUUUUCUUAGUAUUCUUUAUUUGUUUAGUUAAGAUUUGUAUUGUUUAUUAGUUGGAACAAAAUAAUUUUUUUUAUCUUCUGAA